ACGAGAUGGUGACAUGGAGCAAAUCCCAAAAAUAAACGUCCCAGUUCGGAUUGCAGGCUGCAACCCGCCUGCAUGAAGCCGGAAUUGCUAGUAAUCGCGGAUCAGCAUGCCGCGGUGAAUACGUUCCCGGGCCUUGUACACACCGCCCGUCACACCAUGGGAGUCGGUAACACCCGAAGCCAAUAGUCUAACCGCAAGGAGGACGUUGUCGAAGGUGGGAUUGAUGACUGGGGUGAAGUCGUAACAAGGUAUC
rnacentral:rRNA from 1 species